rnacentral:rRNA from 1 species
AUUGAACGCUAGCGGGAUGCUUUACACAUGCAAGUCGAACGGCAGCGCGGACUUCGGUCUGGCGGCGAGUGGCGAACGGGUGAGUAAUGUAUCGGAACGUGCCCAGUAGCGGGGGAUAACUACGCGAAAGCGUAGCUAAUACCGCAUACGCCCUACGGGGGAAAGCAGGGGAUCGUAAGACCUUGCACUAUUGGAGCGGCCGAUAUCGGAUUAGCUAGUUGGUGAGGUAACGGCUCACCAAGGCGACGAUCCGUAGCUGGUUUGAGAGGACGACCAGCCACACUGGGACUGAGACACGGCCCAGACUCCUACGGGAGGCAGCAGUGGGGAAUUUUGGACAAUGGGGGCAAACCUGAUCCAGCCAUCCCGCGUGUGAUAUGACGGCCUUCGGGUUGUAAAGCACUUUUGGCAGGAAAGAAACGUCGCGGGCUAAUACCCAGUGGAACUGACGGUACCUGCAGAAUAAGCACCGGCUAACUACGUG